rnacentral:tRNA from 1 species
GGUCAAGAAGCGAAAAUCGCGUUUAGUUUCGGCCUAAAAUUUGGUGUAUACAUCCACCCUUGACCU